UACGGAGGAUGCGAGCGUUAUCCGGAUUUAUUGGGUUUAAAGGGUGCGUAGGCGGCCGAGUAAGUCAGCGGUGAAAUUUUGCAGCUUAACUGUAACAGUGCCGUUGAUACUGCAUGGCUAGGAUUUGGUUGCUGUGGGUGGAAUGUGUGGUGUAGCGGUGAAAUGCUUAGAUAUCACACAGAAUAUCAAUCGCGAAGGCAGCUCACAAAGCCAAGAUUGACGCUGAGGCACGAAAGUGUGGGGAUCAAA
rnacentral:rRNA from 1 species